GACCAGACUCCUACGGGAGGCAGCAGUGGGGGAUAUUGCACAAUGGGGGAAACCCUGAUGCAGCGACGCCGCGUGUAGGAAGACGGUCCUCUGGAUUGUAAACUACUGUCCCCAGGGACGAAGAUGACGGUACCUGGGGAGGAAGCACCGGCUAACUCCGUGCCAGCAGCCGCGGUAAUACGGAGGGUGCGAGCGUUAAUCGGAAUUACUGGGCGUAAAGCGCACGUAGGCUGUUGUGUAAGUCAGGGGUGAAAUCCCACGGCUCAACCGUGGAACUGCCCUUGAUACUGCAUGACUGGAAUCCGGGAGAGGGUGGCGGAAUUCCAGGUGUAGGAGUGAAAUCCGUAGAUAUCUGGAGGAACAUCAGUGGCGAAGGCGGCCACCUGGACCGGUAUUGACGCUGAGGUGCGAAAGCGUGGGGAGCAAACAGGAUUAGAUACCCGGGUA
rnacentral:rRNA from 1 species